AUGCAAGUUUGUCAGCUAACAAUUGAUACUAGAUACUACGAACUGGGAAGGAUAUCAUUCGAUGAACUCGUCGUCAGUCUCAUCAUAAUCGCUAUCCUCUUCCAUAUCCUCAUCAUCCUCAUCUUGUACUUGCUCCACGAACCUAUCUUUGUCGAAGGAAUUAUCAUCCUCCAUUUCUUCAACACCAAUUGUGUCAUACUUCAUACGCUCAUCAAAUUUCGCAUCAGAGCAGUUGAGCAGCCAUGCGAGAGAGCAUGUGAACCCCUUUUUAGCCACAAUCCCAUGCCGAUAUCUUAUAGUGGAUUCGAGGCCAUAUGUAAAGAAUGCCGGGAACUCAACCAGCUCCUCCAAAUCCCUCUCCAUUUCAUUCUUAAAGUACUCGAAGUUCAUCUUCAUUAUAUCCAUGUUCAGUGCCAGCAAUUGGGGGCACCCCACGACCAUCUUGCUGACCUGAGACAGCAAGAAGCCACAUCCUGUGAGGAAGUUGACAUGCUUUAG
rnacentral:rRNA from 1 species